GUUGGUCAAAGGGGAUUUCCUGGCCAGGACGGGUUGCCGGGCCAACCAGGCCAACCAGGAUAUCCGGGGAAACCUGGCAAGCCUCCCUCAGAUGAACAUCUUCUAAAGCUCUGUGAGGACGUUCUGCGCAAUCAACUUCCAGCACUGCUCCAGACCCUGAUCCCCCAGCUGGGUGUGAACCUUGCCAGAGCAUGAAGGGACCCCCGGGUGAGCCAGGACCACCAGGGCCCAAAGGCUCCAUGGGAACUCCAGGCUACCCUGGCAGGAAUGGUGCUCCCGGUUACCCAGGACCUCCUGGCCUGCAGGGUCCUGUAGGCCUUAAAGGUGAUAUAACCCAUAAUGUAGGGAUUGACAUGG